GACAGAGGUGCCGAGCGUUAGGCGGAAUCACUGGGCUUGAAGCGUGUGUAGGCGGAUCGUUAAGUGCCUUGUGAAAUCCCACGGCUCAACCGUGGAACUGCUUGGCAUACUGGCGAUCUUGAGCCACUUAGGGGCUACCGGAACAAAUGGUGGAGCGGUGAAAUGCGUAGAUAUCAUUUGGAACGCCAAUGGUGAAAACAGGUAGCUGGGAGUGUGCUGACGCUGAGACACGAAAGCCAGGGGAGCAAACGGG
rnacentral:rRNA from 1 species